rnacentral:rRNA from 1 species
UGCAAGUCGAACGGCAGCACGGGUGCUUGCACCUGGUGGCGAGUGGCGCACUGGUGAGUAAUAUAUCGGAACGUGCCCUAGAGUGGGGGAUAACGUAGCGAAAGUUACGCUAAAACCGCAUACGAUCUACGGAUGAAAGUGGGGGAUCGCAAGACCUCAUGCUCCUGGAGCGGCCGAUAUCUGAUUAGCUAGUUGGUGGGGUAAAAGCCUACCAAGGCGACGAUCAGUAGCUGGUCUGAGAGGACGACCAGCCACACUGGGACUGAGACACGGCCCAGACUCCUACGGGAGGCAGCAGUGGGGAAUUUUGGACAAUGGGGGAAACCCUGAUCCAGCAAUGCCGCGUGUGUGAAGAAGGCCUUCGGGUUGUAAAGCACUUUUGUCAGGAACGAAACGGUGGGGGCUAAUACCUCCUGCUAAUGACGGUACCUGAAGAAUAAGCACCGGCUAACUACGUGCCAGCAGCCGCGGUAAUACGUAGGGUGCGAGCGUUAAUCGGAAUUACUGGGCGUAAAGCGUGCGCAGGCGGUUGUGCAAGACAGAUGUGAAAUCCCCGGGCUCAACCUGGGAAUUGCAUUUGUGACUGCACGGCUAGAGUGUGUCAGAGGGGGGUAGAAUUCCACGUGUAGCAGUGAAGUGCGUAGAUAUGUGGAGGAAUACCGAUGGCGAAGGCAGCCCCCUGGGAUAACACUGACGCUCAUGCACGAAAGCGUGGGGAGCAAACAGGAUUAGAUACCCUGGUAGUCCACGCCCUAAACGAUGUCUACUAGUUGUCGGGUCUUAAUUGACUUGGUAACGCAGCUAACGCGUGAAGUAGACCGCCUGGGGAGUACGGUCGCAAGAUUAAAACUCAAAGGAAUUGACGGGGACCCGCACAAGCGGUGGAUGAUGUGGAUUAAUUCGAUGCAACGCGAAAAACCUUUACUACCCUUGACAUGUACGGAACCCUGCUG